rnacentral:rRNA from 1 species
UUCCGGUUGAUCCCGCCGGACCCGACUGCUAUUUGGGUGAGGAUAAGCCAUGCGAGUUGAAUGGGAUACCUAAAUUUCCCAUGGCAAACUGCUCAGUAACACAUGAUCAACUUACCCUAUAGAGAAAAAUAACCUCGGGAAACUGAGGAUAAUAUUUCAUAGUUGAAUAGGCUUGGAAAAGUUUUUCAAUAAAAGGGAUAAAAAAAAUGGUUUUUAUCUGCUAUAGGAUAGGAUCGUGGACGAUUAUGGUUGUUGGUGAGGUAACGGCUCACCAAGCCGAUAAUCGAUAGGGGCCGUGAGAGCGGGAGCCCCGAGAUGGGUACUGAGACAACGACCCAGGCCUUACGAGGCGCAGCAGGCGCGAAACCUCCGCAAUACACGAAAGUGUGACGGGGUUACCCAAAGUGUUCAAUUCUGAACUGUGGUAGGUGAGUAAUGUUCCCUACUAGAAAGGAGAGGGCAAGGCUGGUGCCAGCCGCCGCGGUAAAACCAGCUCUUCAAGUGGUCGGGAUAAUUAUUGGGCUUAAAGUGUCCGUAGCCGGUUUAGUAAGUUCCUGGUAAAAUCGGGUAGCUUAACUAUCUGUAUGCUAGGAAUACUGCUAUACUAGAGGGCGGGAGAGGUCUGAGGUACUACAGGGGUAGGGGUGAAAUCUUAUAAUCCUUGUAGGACCACCAGUGGCGAAGGCGUCAGACUGGAACGCGCCUGACGGUGAGGGACGAAAGCCAGGGGAGCGAACCGGAUUAGAUACCCGGGUAGUCCUGGCCGUAAACGAUGCAUACUAGGUGAUGGUACGGCCAUGAGCCAUAUCAGUGCCGUAGGGAAACCGUUAAGUGUGCCGCCUGGGAAGUACGGUCGCAAGGCUAAAACUUAAAGGAAUUGGCGGGGGAGCACCACAAGGGGUGAAGCCUGCGGUUCAAUUGGAUUCAACGCCGGGAAAUCACUAGUGCGGGCCGCCUGCAGGUCGACCAUAUGGGAGAGCUCCCAACGCGUUGGGAUGCAUAGCUUGAGUAUUCUAUAGUGUCACCUAAAUAGCUUG